GACACAAGAGCUCUCUUUGUGCAUUACCCCUGAAGAAGGAAUCACAUCCAUGCCCAGAUCUCCAUGUGCACAAGACAUCAUGGAUGUACUGAAGGAGGGACAAGUUGGUAAAGUACUGUAGCAGCUACUUCAAGGUUUCAUGACAUUUACGACAAAGGCUGUCUUUAGACACAAUUUUCUGCACGUCUCUGAAAGAUUCCACUAAUACACCUCUCUCUUGUGGAAGAUAAAAUGACUUCAAUCUUAGUUUGCUUCCUGAUAUCCACUACCAUAAGCAGAUGGGAGUUGGCUAACACUUAAGAUUGGCUCUGCCUGGCACGUAUCUGUAUGUGAAGAGGAAACACUGCACUUGGAUGAAAGCAAUCAAAGUUUGAAGGCCACGAGUAGACAGCAAAAAAGUAAUAAUCUUCCACAAGGAAGUCCAAGGAAUAAGAUUUUGGCAAAUGCAUGUUUUAUGACAGAGAUCAUCUCAAUAGGUAUUUAUGAUUGCUAUUAUAAGUAAGAGCUGUUUAUAAAAUACACACAGAGUUCAUGGUCCAGGAAUCAAGAAUUAAAAGUUAAUAAAAGUUACACAUUAUUACACAGGCACUUCUUUUCCAAAGCUCCAUAAUGGGGUAAAAGAGACAUGAACUAAUCUGAGGGGUGAUAAAGCAAAGCAUUAAACAGAAAAUAACAGAAAAUGAAAGAAGAUUCCUCACCGGAAUUCUGAGAUUGACCUCAAGCAGCCAUACAGUAGGCAUGGGUAGGCUGGGAGCAGAUUUAAGCAAUUUUAAAGCCAGAGGCAACGGUGAAAUGGCAACUGGACAGUGGGAUAAGAAAAUAUAGAAAUAGUGGGGAAUGGCAGACUAUGCAAAACCUAUUUUCUUUAAAAAAUAGCUGUUGUCACAACUCAGCAUUAACAGUCUCAGCUAGUUGUAAGGCUUAUGUCAGCCUCUCAGAAGAAAUGAACCUAAUUUUUAAAACAUGGACAUAACAAAAAGAAGAAAAACAGCCAACUCAAUGCCAUCUCCUCAGGCAGAUUAGAUAAGUUUUAAAGCAGAAAUGUACUGAUCAACUGUAAGGAAAUACAACAUGACUCUGAACUAGCUUAGAAAUGUUGAGUGCAUGAAAUCAAGGAGUGGCUGACUAACGUUACAGCUCAAACCACUUUUUGGAGCAGGGUUAUACAACUGUGAAUGCUGCAGGGGCUGAACACUUCCAUAUUCUCACCUGUACAUCAUCUAACCAAAGACUGUUGUUUGGAAACAAUGAAAAUAAAUGAAAUAAAUCACCAUCAGCCCUUUAUUCUUGCACAGAAGGAAGAAGAGCAUGGAGUGGGUCUAUUUAUUAAGUUAAAAGAACAGGCUGAAAACCUUUGCUGAAUUACAGCCCUUGGAAUGAAUAAGAAUAACAUACUGUACAUACUUAUGUGGUCUGUGUCUCGCUCGCUCUGUCUCCAUGGCAAAUUUCAUCUGCAGGCCAACUACUUGUACGUGUUCUAAGUUGAUGACACAAAGUCAUUAUUAAAAAUGUCCCCUCCUCAGUAAAAGAAUGAGCUUCAAUUUUAUUCUGUUUUUACAAAUUCUGAUGUCUACAAAUUCCUGUAAUUUUGAAAAACAGUACAAUGUGUUACUCAGAUCUAAGUAAAUUGGCAUCAGCAACAGCAGGGUUUUAAGUGCCCUGGUCUUGGUUUUGUCACUGUUAACUGUGAUGUACACAAAGCCUUACAAAACCUAUGAACUUAGUGUUUAUUUUGGUUCUGCAAUCAUAGAUAUCUGGUUACUGCCUUAUAUACUUAUGUAUACUCUACAGCAUAUAACCCAUUUCCUUCAUUUCCCCCCAUUUCCCUCAGAGUAUUCUGUGAAACUAUCAGCUGUCAUGAGACUUUGAUUUCAAUUUAAAGAACUCAUUAGUGAGAGGGACUACUUCACUGUGUUUCAGACAGACAUCCAAAAUCUUGAAUGCUUUUUCUUAUAAUAUCCUAUAUAUAAAUCCAUGGAGUCCUGUAAUUUCCCAAGGAAGAUAUCAAUGCUUGUAUGUGCGAAUAAACUGC